CAAGCAAGCCAAGGACCAUAUGUUUUUUGUGUUACACUUUACAGCAUCUAAGCUUAUUAUAUUCAACACAAGGAGAAAGUCCCCGGAAAAAAAAAUAGUACUUACUGUCCAAUGAUUAAAGAUUAGGGCAGUGGGGUAUUUAGUAAAGCAACUUUGUUUGUUUGUUUUUUUUCAUAAUAAAAAGUAAUAUGGUCACCCUAUAAUAAUGGGGCAACUUAAUGGGGCUUACUCUGGCUUGUUU
rnacentral:RNase_MRP_RNA from 2 species